GAGAUAAACCAAAAUCGCCAGCCAAACAUGAUGGAGAAGAAAAUAAAAUUUACUUCUAGAUCGUAUUUACUCGAAUUUGGAUUCAAAUUCCCUUCUGGAUCGUUUCAUUAAAGUUUAUUUCAUCUUCCUCUCUGAUUAUCAACUCAACAUCGUUCUGAUUUGAUGGAUUCAUUGCAAGGUAAUGUUCCAGGUUUUCAUCCGCGUUGAAGUCCAAUAAUUAUCGACCAACAACAAAGAGAUGCUCUUUCGUGUUUUCAUCUACGUCGUAGUCCAAGAGUAAUCGAGCAACAAUAAAGAGAUGCUCACUUAGAGCGGCGCCAUGUUCACUAUAAAGUAAUUCGAGAUUCAAUGACCAAAGUCGAAAAGGAAGCACUUCUUGAAAAACGGCGUAAUGCUUAUCGCAGCCGGAAAAAAGAAUUGAACGGAAACACAGCAGAAACAAAUAAACAACUCCCUACAAGACCAUGGAGCAGAAACCAGUACAACAAGUACUUCAAUUGAAAGAGCCAAAAAGUGUCAAUCCGAAAUAGACAAGGAAUUGGCAGCUACUGAAAAUAAAACAAGCAAGAAGUGUCCCCUUGAAAUCAACCCAGAAGAAAGAGAACUCCGAUUGACGGAACGGACGGGCGGCAGGCGCAUCGCGCGUGCCUGUUAUACUAGUUUGGAUCGAGAAAACCUAAAUUUCUAGGUUUUUCUCAAACUUUUCUUCUUCCUUCAAUAAUCUUGAUAUUUUGAUUUUACACUAACUAUAAAUCAAAUAAUUCAUAAAGGACAUUUUAGUCAUUACAGAAAAUAGUAAGGGAAUGUGUUGAUUACUAUUUAGAACCCGGAUUUAAUCAUUUUGUGAGCCCUCAAAACUCUUUGUGUGGAGCCCUUAUAAUAAGUUUCAAAUUAAUAUAAUACAACACGUGAACCAGUUAAGGAAAUAUUCAUGAUCAGCCGGCGGAAAAA